UGGCAACAUGAAAGAGGUGUCCAGAGGUGGCAACAUGAAACGGGAGUCCAGAGGUGACAACAUGAAACGGGAGUCCAGAGGUGACAACAUGAAACGGGUGUCCAGAGGUGACAACAUGAAACGGGUGUCCAGAGGUGACAACAUGAAACGGGAGUCCAGAGGUGACAACAUGAAACGGGAGUCUAGAGGAGUCCAGAGGAGGGAUGCUGCAGUUACAUGGUGACCGUGACCCCCACGGUCACAAUGAUUUUUCAUUCUUAACAGCGGAUCACUAAUUGAUCAAAGUGAUCAAUCUGCUUUAUUUUGUUUCAUUAACAUUGUGACCAGCAGUUUGCUUUCGAUGCUAUAAAUAAACCCUAUAAUUCAUGUUUAUGUCGAGGGCGCAGUAAAUACCUUGGCCACAAGAGGAUAUCAAACAACAUUAAGACAGAGAAAGAACCUGGAUCAGUACACUUCUUCUUAGGAGUGGGUUUGAUGAGGUGGAUUGGGUUGUUCUAUAUCAUCCAGACGUUCAGGAGAGUAGAGAUGGAGUCAUUGCACUGGCAUGUAUAACUGAGUAUCAUCUGCGUGACAAGGUCAAGAGAUUUUGUGUUCAAAUAUUGCGAAGUGGAAAAAGCUGCUGCUACUCGAUAAAUGAUCAGUGCAAAAUAUUUAGUACGCAAUGUCAAACUUCUUGAUCUUCUUCAGUUUAGCUGUGUUCUGUUAUUUGAGGUAACAGACGAUGAAAGCAGACUCGGAUAUAGAACGAUUGAGGUCUGUGAGCUUCAGAGUCUAAGAAGAAGAAAACACUAUUGUGUCCAAUGAUACAUCAGGUGUAGAUUCACAGGUGGAUUCUGACGUGUGUUUUUGGAGCGUGCCAUGAGAAGUGUGUUUUAGAAUGAAGAUAAAGCUCAACAGCAGGUUGAGACAAUGUGAAUACACCAGAACAAGAAAACACAAGGCUGUGCCUUUUUUCUUCUUCUGGUGAAACGGAAAGAAUCCAACAUUGUGGUUGGGCAGGCUGCUCCGGGUCUCUGCUGUUGGCUGAGUGCUGCUUAAUAAAGCCCUAAGCUCUGGACAUGACAGCAAAUUGGAGAGUUCGACACAGAAUAGACUCGCGAUUUGCUGGAAUGACUUGAAUUUGUUCUCCGCAGUCCAGACAGAGAAUGUAGAUUCCACCCUGGAACAUGACUGUGGAACAUGUCGUUCGUGUGUUUCCUCAGUGUGCUGGGAGACGUUGGACCGUAUGGGUCUGAGACGAGCCGUAGUCACAGCUGCGGAGAUGAGCCUUGUGCACAAGUAGCAGGACUGGAAUCUUUAAUCAAUAGACCUAAAAAACGAGGCUCUGUUUCUCGUGUUUGUGAUGGAUUCUGAUUCCCAUUCGACCAUCACAGACAGUAUUCAGUAUUCAGAGGGCAUUUUUGAUCCUGUGUUGGAAUGUGAGAUCUCGUGUGAAGCUAGCCUCCGUCUCAUCCCGCCCCGCUUCCUCUGGGGAAGGGAAACGUUGCUUCCAGCUCUGGAGAGUGGGAGGUUUUCUCUAAUUGACUCCAGAUGUGACAACAGCAGCAGCAGCGGGAGCUAGAACCAGAACAAAUGGAAAACACGUCGCUGUUCAAACACUACCUCAGCAUUAGAAAACACCGAUGGACACCAAUACUGCCAGGGCAGAGGGCGACCAGGUGGUAAUACUUUAGGUAACAAUGUUGUCCCUCGUGCAGGAAACCAUACAAGAAUACAUUUCCUCUCUUCUACAAGUGGUCCACAACAAUCUUACCAAGAUAAGAAACAGUCCACAAACUGUCCAUCGCAAGGAAACAAGUUUGAAAUGUAAUGAACAGAGUAAUUCUAACAAUUAGAUUAUCAAAUAAAUGAAAUACCAUUGGUCCAUUGAUCCCUUUCUCACUAUAAAGAAACCUUCUGAACGGGUGCCAUACUGCUGCCAUCACGUCUUUCAUGUCUUUGUUUCACUUCGUCUAUCAGAACCUGUUAGUGUGGGGAGGCAGCGGUGGCUCUGCUGGCUGUCUGCUGCCCUCUGCUGGACCGGCUGCCUUCCUUCUCCUCUCUACACAGGCCUGUAACCACAGUGUGGAACCAGCCAUCAAGUUCAGCAAAUGUACUUUCAUUGUCACUAUUUUAUUUCGAGGUCAGAGUGUGCACUACUGUCAUGCUUUCUUUCUGUCAUUCCAUCUGUAAUUUAACAAUUUUUCAUUUUCUUUUUCUGUCUUCGUGGCACGUUCUAAUGUCCUCUUUCUGCACUCAGGCAGCGAGGUAGACUUGAUACUGUCAAUGCUAUUAUAAUGACAGCCUCAGCGCUUCUUUCUGAUGAUAUUAUGAGAAAAAAAGACAAAUAAUGAAGAAAAGAAUCAACAUUGCUUAUUAUUGUUGAAUGUAAACAAAGUCUUUUUUGAGCAGCGAUACAAAAAGCUCCAAAAUCCUUAAAGUCCAGUCACAGCUACACAAUGAGCUGAGCCAUUAGCUUUCAUUGAUAGCCUGCUCUCCUGACAUCACUCACGUUACCUGCAGUGGACCAGGAUGGACGGCUGCUCCCCACACAGUAGAAACUGAUCAUUUGUGCAGAUUGAUAUUCAGCUUCAGUUUAAAGUGUGUGUGUGUGUGUGUGUGUGUGUGUCAGAGUAAAGCAUGACUUGAGACGCUAAAAUUGUACCGAUAGCUGAACCGUUAACUCCGGACCUCAAUACUCGGGUUUUACUCAUUUAGAAGGGGGCUACGGGGGGGCAUCCCUACCCUCCAUUCAAGUCUCAAAGAAAAACCCUGCAUCCCUGAUAGUGAGCCCUUUAUUAUCUCCACCAAUCACACUCCCAGGUCAAGGUCCAGGAGCAGGGACAUGGAACAGAACCGUUGCUUCAACCUGUACGUUUGUGAGACGUGUUCAUCCUUACAGGUUCAGUUAUUCACACAUGGCGUCUGAAACACUGAGUCUGUGUUUCAGUGAGUGCUGAUGUGUGUGUGUGUGUGUGUGUGUGUGUUUUUCAGACUAUUAUGACCCAGAGGAGAGGACUGACGAAGAGGCCGAGGCGAUCUUCUCUGAAGACGAGGCCGUCACUCAGAAAGGACUGAGACGAUCGCAGAGUGUCAAGAUCAUACGAUCCAGAGUCCGCAGAGACGCUCGUUACGGAUCCCUGAAGAUUAAAAGCAAGAAGAGACCAGCGCUGAGCUCUGUGAACUACGGAGUGUGAAGGGAAUACAGCAGACACACACACACACACACACACACCCUCACACCUCGCAGACCAGCGUGCUGAUUGGUGGAUGGUAUUCCAGCUCUUCUCCGUCUGACUUCUCACUCUGCUGAGCUCUGUUAUCUCUCUGAUGAUGAGCUUCUGACAUAUUUAUUACUUAAUUCAUCCAAAACUGGUGAUGCCACCAGAACCUACUCUCUGGGAGCUUUAGAUGUUUUUCUUUGGGUUUGAUGGCGUACAUUCCUGCAUGGACUAGUAUGUAUGUCAUUUGUUGUUCGUUAGAAUUGUAGUCGUGACGUGAUAUGCGUGCAGUCUUUUAGAUUGUUGAGGCUUUCUGUUUCAUUUCGUGCAAGCUUUGUGUUCUUACUUUCUAAUAAGUCAUUGUUUUAUGAAGAGUUCAUGAACACUCUAACUAAUCACUCUAAUUAAACAUUCUUUAAUGGCUUAAAGAAUAGUUCAAUCAUUUACCUUUGGGGAUCCUUUGGGCUUGUCCAAAGGUUGCUUUGUAGCUCUUUUAUUUGUCAGUGAGACCCAAACAGAAUAACAUUUACACCUGUUGAUUAUUAUAUCGUGUCAUUUACAUUUUGGCCACUUGGGGGCAGCACAACAAGCUGAAAUGACCCUUUUUUAUAAAGUUGUUGCGGCGAACGUGUUGGCAAACAGUUGCUUAUUUCACGUCCUGCAGACACCAAAUAUGUCCAAUACUGAACCUCCUUUAAGCUCACAGGAAUUCACAAGAAAAUAAAGUACAGCCUUGUUCAGUUCAGUACACUCUGGGGUUGCUGCUACAGCCUCACCAGGUCCAACAGUGACCUCCGGUGGCUGGGGAUGUCACUGAAACUGACACUUAGGUACCAAGACCAUGCCAAAAUUUCGGAAAACGUGACUGGACCUUUUUUUUUUUUUUUUCAGUACCGCAGGCACCGUUAGCUCGAGGCUAACAGCGGACGCAGUAAACUCACUAUCGACACACCCUAUUUUCUCCCUGAUAACACUACGUGAACAACAAAUCCAUCUUGGUACCAACAGGAAGAGAGCUAGCUAACGUUAGCGGUUAGCAGCAGUCCUGCAGAGUUAACUGCUUUCAAGCUCUACUCAGUAAAAAUUAGUAUUUGGCGAAUAUCGUGGUGUUAAAAUGUGAUCUUGUAAGAUGUGUUUUUUGGAGAGAAAAUUGAUUAAACCCAGUUGUUUGACAGAGAUGUCUGCUCAGCAAUAUGAAACCGAUAUUAGAGAGGGAAUUAUGAGCUUUAACAUCCUAUCACUAGCUCCAAGUGUUUAUUUUUUACCAUGGUAUCAAAUUGGGUACCGAGAAUCUCACACAGAAUUUCACUGGUAUUGGUAUCGACUGCCACAUUGCGUCAAUGCUAACGGUGGCAAAUGUUAGCAAGCUGCAGGGCUCUGGGUUUGAACUGCCACCCUCGGCUGUGCGGAGUGAUCUUCUUUCAUUGGGCCCACAGCUGCACCACCUUCUACUGCAGACGUUAGCCACUAGCUGCUGAGCAAAGUUUAUAUUGGACUUUAUAUCGCUUUCUUCUUUACUGAAAACAUGAUGAAGAGAUUUUUAAAAACCUCACAAUCCAAAAGUAGUUUAGAUGAAUGGCUCAUUAGCUGCUUCAAACCCCUUUAUAUGGAGGGCUCUAUUAAACGUUGCUUCUGCUGCCUUGCAUGUAUUUUAUCUACAAGGAGCUUAUUCCUAGUUAGUGUAGAAGUCCAUUAACUUCUGUAUGUGCUAGAGACCUUUACUGUGAGACACAUGCAACAUUCCCCGUCCCGGGGGAGGGGAGGCUCUGACAUGAACUUUAGGAGGCGGAUGAAUCCGACACUGGACCACCAGCAGAUGAACACUAUCCUCGAUGCUGUCAGAGGAGGAGGAACCAAAGGGAAGAGAGAACCAAAUGAAUGGAACACAGUGACUACCAAGUUUCUCUGUGCAGACUCGCAGCCUUUAUAAAGGCCCAGAACUCCCGCUCACUAUUAACGGCCGUUUCCUGUUUCCUUCCUUUUUACGCCUGUAUUUUUAUGGCUGUGUCCCGAUCACACGCCUGGUUGUAAAUUUCUUGCUGUGUUUUUUUUUUUGUAUCAGUGAAGAUUAGUUUUAGCUAUUUAAAUUGUAUUUUUUGUGUGUGUGUGUGUGUGUUACGUUUGAAUCAAAAUUAGUCUUUUAUGUUAACCACCUCUUUUUACACAUUUACCUCCCAAAUCUUUAGUUUUGUUAUCAAUGCUGUUGCUUGUCAUCUCAUGAUUUAUUGUACUUUGAUCACUCUAGAUGAUGGAUGCUAAUACUAACGGCGCUCUCGUGACAUUUAGUGUGGCUCGUUUUUGUCUGCUGUAAAUGACUUCCUGACGUAGCAGUACUCUUGGAGACCUUGAAGCCGAUACAGAAGAGUAACAAGUUCAAGGAAAAAGUGCUUCCAUGAGUAUGAAGCUCUCCAACAUCUACAGGAGAUUUUGAAGCCACGUGUUGAUCGCAAAUUAUCAUUUCUGCACAGCUGUGAGGUUAAGUGCAACAUAUCUGACCGUACACACACUGCACAUGUGUGCUCCCAGUGUAGUAAUAUAAAUCUAAUGAAUAAAUCAUAUAAACGUGUCCGUGGCUGCUUUACAUAUUGUUGUACCAUGCUGGCAUGGUAAGAAUGGGUUAAUAACUGAGUAUACACAGUACAUAUCUUUAGACAGCACAUCAUCAAAGCAUGACAUGGUCUGAGAUCCUGAAGCAGAGCUUUCACCCAUAACAAGCCAAACUUCCUCAUGUCACGAUGCCCUUUAAUGCUCAUAACUGAAUAUUGAUACCAAAGCUUCACGUACUCACCCGGAACAUGUGUGGCUGGAUGUUUUUUUAUUAUCCGUGUGGGUAAAAUGUCUGGUGUGUGGACUGUAAAUGCAAUACAAUGAAUAAAAAAAACAUUUUUGUUGUGA